UCUCUUGCGCCUCACCACUCCUUUCAAAAGGUAUUUCAUCACGUGGCUGCACAAAAUCACAAGAACUAAAACAAGAAAGAGUUAAUGGGUUAGGAAGUAAAGAAAUGUUUUUCUUGCUUACACUCUCUUUGGCUUUUAUCGCAAGACUAAUGUUUUCCUCACCCUUAGCCUCUUUUCUCUCACUAAAGAGUUCUUUUCCUUCACUCAAUCUCUCUUGUUUCUCUCUCUCUACCUUACAAACUUUGUUUCUCUUAUUGCUUUCUCUCUUUUCUUUUUUUCUCAAGAUCAUUGUUUACCUCACUUGACAUCCCACUCUUUUUACUCAAGACAACCUCUCCUUUUUCAUCUCUUGGAAUGUCAACAUGCACUCCCUUACUCCUCUCAUUCUUUUCUCUCUCGUAUUUUUCCAUAUUCUUUUUAACAAUCUUUUCAUCUGCACAAAUUUGUGAGGGAGUCAAAGGUCCAAGACUGAGUUUCUUUCCAUUAACCUCAAAAGAGUAUCUAUUUUUUUCGAUACUAUAUGAAGCACUUCUAUAGAUAUUCCAUGGCCUUCCCAACAAGAUAUGAAAACGAUUCAUGGGAAUGGCAUCACACCAGAUCACAUCCUCAUACCUUCCAAUAGAGAAUGGUAAUAACACUCUUUUAUCUACCUUUACUCCUUUCAACAUAUAGGGAUCAAUAUGUUCAACACAAGGCAAGUUCAAUUUCUCAACCAUAUAAGUGCUAAUUAAGUUAUAGUUAAAUGCUUUGUCAAUUCUAAGGGUAUAAAUUGUAAACAUCACUUUAGCUCUUGUUUGAAAAAUAAUUUUACCAUUGUCUUCUUUCCAUUCGAUAUAUUGUAAUAUCGACCUUUCAAGAGUCAUAGAUCUACUCCUUCCACUGCAACUACCUAUUUGAGAUAUCUUGACAUAGAUUAAAGGAAAUAUAAAUCUCUCAAAUUUGGCUUCUUUGUUUUUUUUUCAAUUGUUCUCUCACACACUUUAUCCUUUUUUUCUCUCGAAAUGACCUUUGAACAAAAUACUUUGUAGAUUUAUAGUUAAACCAACUCGUAUGA
rnacentral:lncRNA from 1 species